rnacentral:rRNA from 1 species
AAGGCUAAAUACUCCUGACUGACCGAUAGUGAACCAGUACCGUGAGGGAAAGGCGAAAAGAACCCCGGCGAGGGGAGUGAAAAAGAACCUGAAACCGUGUACGUACAAGCAGUGGGAGCACGCUUAGGCGUGUGACUGCGUACCUUUUGUAUAAUGGGUCAGCGACUUAUAUUCUGUAGCAAGGUUAACCGAAUAGGGGAGCCGAAGGGAAACCGAGUCUUAACUGGGCGUUAAGUUGCAGGGUAUAGACCCGAAACCCGGUGAUCUAGCCAUGGGCAGGUUGAAGGUUGGGUAACACUAACUGGAGGACCGAACCGACUAAUGUUGAAAAAUUAGCGGAUGACUUGUGGCUGGGGGUGAAAGGCCAAUCAAACCGGGAGAUAGCUGGUUCUCCCCGAAAGCUAUUUAGGUAGCGCCUCGUGAAUUCAUCUCCGGGGGUAGAGCACUGUUUCGGCAAGGGGGUCAUCCCGACUUACCAACCCGAUGCAAACUGCGAAUACCGGAGAAUGUUAUCACGGGAGACACACGGCGGGUGCUAACGUCCGUCGUGAAGAGGGAAACAACCCAGACCGCCAGCUAAGGUCCCAAAGUCAUGGUUAAGUGGGAAACGAUGUGGGAAGGCCCAGACAGCCAGGAUGUUGGCUUAGAAGCAGCCAUCAUUUAAAGAAAGCGUAAUAGCUCACUGGUCGAGUCGGCCUGCGCGGAAGAUGUAACGGGGCUAAACCAUGCACCGAAGCUGCGGCAGCGACGCUUAUGCGUUGUUGGGUAGGGGAGCGUUCUGUAAGCCUGCGAAGGUGUGCUGUGAGGCAUGCUGGAGGUAUCAGAAGUGCGAAUGCUGACAUAAGUAACGAUAAAGCGGGUGAAAAGCCCGCUCGCCGGAAGACCAAGGGUUCCUGUCCAACGUUAAUCGGGGCAGGGUGAGUCGACCCCUAAGGCGAGGCCGAAAGGCGUAGUCGAUGGGAAACAGGUUAAUAUUCCUGUACUUGGUGUUACUGCGAAGGGGGGACGGAGAAGGCUAUGUUGGCCGGGCGACGGUUGUCCCGGUUUAAGCGUGUAGGCUGGUUUUCCAGGCAAAUCCGGAAAAUCAAGGCUGAGGCGUGAUGACGAGGCACUACGGUGCUGAAGCAACAAAUGCCCUGCUUCCAGGAAAAGCCUCUAAGCAUCAGGUAACAUCAAAUCGUACCCCAAACCGACACAGGUGGUCAGGUAGAGAAUACCAAGGCGCUUGAGAGAACUCGGGUGAAGGAACUAGGCAAAAUGGUGCCGUAACUUCGGGAGAAGGCACGCUGAUAUGUAGGUGAAGUCCCUUGCGGAUGGAGCUGAAAUCAGUCGAAGAUACCAGCUGGCUGCAACUGUUUAUUAAAAACACAGCACUGUGCAAACACGAAAGUGGACGUAUACGGUGUGACGCCUGCCCGGUGCCGGAAGGUUAAUUGAUGGGGUCAGCGCAAGCGAAGCUCUUGAUCGAAGCCCCGGUAAACGGCGGCCGUAACUAUAACGGUCCUAAGGUAGCGAAAUUCCUUGUCGGGUAAGUUCCGACCUGCACGAAUGGCGUAAUGAUGGCCAGGCUGUCUCCACCCGAGACUCAGUGAAAUUGAACUCGCUGUGAAGAUGCAGUGUACCCGCGGCAAGACGGAAAGACCCCGUGAACCUUUACUAUAGCUUGACACUGAACAUUGAGCCUUGAUGUGUAGGAUAGGUGGGAGGCUUUGAAGUGUGGACGCCAGUCUGCAUGGAGCCGGCCUUGAAAUACCACCCUUUAAUGUUUGAUGUUCUAACGUGGACCCGUGAUCCGGGUUGCGGACAGUGUCUGGUGGGUAGUUUGACUGGGGCGGUCUCCUCCUAAAGAGUAACGGAGGAGCACGAAGGUUGGCUAAUCCUGGUCGGACAUCAGGAGGUUAGUGCAAUGGCAUAAGCCAGCUUGACUGCGAGCGUGACGGCGCGAGCAGGUGCGAAAGCAGGUCAUAGUGAUCCGGUGGUUCUGAAUGGAAGGGCCAUCGCUCAACGGAUAAAAGGUACUCCGGGGAUAACAGGCUGAUACCGCCCAAGAGUUCAUAUCGACGGCGGUGUUUGGCACCUCGAUGUCGGCUCAUCACAUCCUGGGGCUGAAGUAGGUCCCAAGGGUAUGGCUGUUCGCCAUUUAAAGUGGUACGCGAGCUGGGUUUAGAACGUCGUGAGACAGUUCGGUCCCUAUCUGCCGUGGGCGCUGGAGAACUGAGGGGGGCUGCUCCUAGUACGAGAGGACCGGAGUGGACGCAUCACUGGUGUUCGGGUUGUCAUGCCAAUGGCACUGCCCGGUAGCUAAAUGCGGAAGAGAUAAGUGCUGAAAGCAUCUAAGCACGAAACUUGCCCCGAGAUGAGUUCUCCCUGACCCUUUAAGGGUCCUGAAGGAACGUUGAAGACGACGACGUUGAUAGGCCGGGUGUGUAAGCGCAGCGAUGCGUUGAGCUAACCGGUACUAAUGAACCGUGAGG